rnacentral:lncRNA from 1 species
GACAUGACCAAAAUGGUCAGUUGACCACUUUAGGAGUUAUUGCCCUUUUUAGUCCAUUUUUAACCAUUUUUCGUAAAUCUUAGUUAUCUUUUACAAAAAUCUUCUCUCUGAAACUACUGGGACAAAUUAAUCCAAACUUGGCCACAAUCAUCAUUGGAGUAUCUAGUUUAAAAAAUGUGUGGCGUGACCCGGCCAACCAACCAAGAUGGCCGCCAUGGCUAAAAAUAGAACAUAGGGGUAAAAUGCAGUUUUUGGCUUAUAACUCAAAAACCAAAGCAUUUAGAGCAAAUCUGUCAGGGGUGAAAUUGUUCAUCAGGUGAAGAUCUAUCUGCCCUGAAAUUUUCAGAUGAAUCGAACAACCUGUUGUUGGGUUGCUGCCCC